UACGAAGGGGGCUAGCGUUGCUCGGAAUCACUGGGCGUAAAGCGCACGUAGGCGGACUCUUAAGUCGGUGGUGAAAUCCUGGAGCUCAACUCCAGAACUGCCUUCGAUACUGGGAGUCUCGAGUCCGGGAGAGGUGAGUGGAACUGCGAGUGUAGAGGUGAAAUUCGUAGAUAUUCGGAAGAACACCAGUGGCGAAGGCGGCUCACUGGCCCGGUACUGACGCUGAGACGCGAAAGCGUGGGGAGCGAACAGG
rnacentral:rRNA from 1 species